rnacentral:lncRNA from 1 species
GGAGCAUAGUUCUGACUUGGAGAGGGCAUAUUUGGGUUCUGAUAAUGGUUUCCACCAGAUGUAUUUGAAGCAUAGUUCUGGUUUGGUCCUGGACCUGUUUGGUAAGGCAUGCCCCCAUUGUUUGGUCCACCAUUAUAUUGAUUGUUUGGUGCUCCACCGUAGUUAUUGGGAGGCGCUCCACCAUAGUUUCUGGGAGGCCCUCCACCAUAGUUAGGCGGUGCACCUCCCAUGUUGGGCUGCAUGUUGGGUGGCCCUCCCAUGCCAGGCUGGUGCAUCCCGCCCAUGUUGGGCUGCUGCUGCUGCAUACCUCCCAUGUUCGGCUGCUGCUGCUGCAUACCUCCCAUGUUAGGUUGCUGCUGCUGCACUCCACUCAUGUUAGGCUGCUGCUGCUGCAUUCCACCCAUGUUAGGGGGUGGUGCAUUUCUCAUAUUGGGAGGUCCACCACCCAUAUUGGAUCCAGGGUUCUGCAUCUCUCUUCUUCUCUCAAAAUUUCUGGACCUAUCAAAGUUACGAGGUCGGUCAUUACGUCUGUUUCUCUCAUUAGCUCGGGCAUUGUUCCUCACCCACUCCUCGUG